GUAGUUAGCCGGGGCUUCCUUCUUGGCUACCGUCUCUUUCUCUUCACCAAGGACAGAGGUUUACAACCCGAAGGCCUUCUUCCCUCACGCGGCGUUGCUGGGUCAGGCUUUCGCCCAUUGCCCAAUAUUCCCCACUGCUGCCUCCCGUAGGAGUCUGGACCGUGUCUCAGUUCCAGUGUGGCCGAUCAGCCUCUCAGCUCGGCUACCCAUCGUCGACUUGGUGGGCCGUUACCCCGCCAACUAUCUAAUGGGACGCGAGCCCCUCCUUUUGCGGAUUGCUCCUUUGACCUCAAAAUGAUGCCAUCUCGUGGUCUUAUGCGGUAUUAGCAAUCGUUUCCGGUUGUUAUCCCCCUCAAAAGGACAGGUUGCUCACGCGUUACUCACCCGUUCGCCACUAGGCAAAAACCGAAAUUCUUGCCCCGUUCGACUUGCAUGUGUUAGGCACGCCGCCAGCGUUCGUCCUGAGCACAGANACAACUACUACGUACGUAGAGGCGGCGUCGGACGACGGACGACGA
rnacentral:rRNA from 1 species